AAGCGUGAAGCAAAACUUGCAAUCAGUUUCGACCUGACCCUUGAUAAGAACCACUUAUCCUCGCUUU
rnacentral:tRNA from 1 species